rnacentral:rRNA from 1 species
GAUGAACGCUGGCGGCGUGCCUAAUACAUGCAAGUCGAGCGAACGGACGAGAAGCUUGCUUCUCUGAUGUUAGCGGCGGACGGGUGAGUAACACGUGGAUAACCUACCUAUAAGACUGGGAUAACUUCGGGAAACCGUAGCUAAUACCGGAUAAUAUUUUGAACCGCAUGGUUCAAAAGUGAAAGACGGUCUUGCUGUCACUUAUAGAUGGAUCCGCGCUGCAUUAGCUAGUUGGUAAGGUAACGGCUUACCAAGGCAACGAUGCAUAGCCGACCUGAGAGGGUGAUCGGCCACACUGGAACUGAGACACGGUCCAGACUCCUACGGGAGGCAGCAGUAGGGAAUCUUCCGCAAUGGGCGAAAGCCUUACGGAGCAACGCCGCGUGAGUGAUGAAGGUCUUCGGAUCGUAAAACUCUGUUAUUAGGGAAGAACAUAUGUGUAAGUAACUGUGCACAUCUUGACGGUACCUAAUCAGAAAGCCACGGCUAACUACGUG